rnacentral:rRNA from 1 species
UACGUAGGGCGCAAGCGUUGUCCGGAAUUAUUGGGCGUAAAGAGCUCGUAGGCGGCUUGUCACGUCGGAUGUGAAAGCCCGGGGCUUAACCCCGGGUCGGCAGUGGAUACGGGCAGGCUAGAGGUAGGUAGGGGAGAAUGGAAUUCCCGGUGUAGCGGUGAAAUGCGCAGAUAUCGGGAGGAACACCGGUGGCGAAGGUGGUUCUCUGGGCCUUACCUGACGCUGAGGAGCGAAAGCGUGGGGAGCGAACAGG